rnacentral:rRNA from 1 species
AGUGAACGCUGGCGGUAGGCCUAACACAUGCAAGUCGAACGGCAGCACAGUAAGAGCUUGCUCUUACGGGUGGCGAGUGGCGGACGAGUGAGGAAUACAUCGGAAUCUACUUUUUCGUGGGGGAUAACGUAGGGAAACUUACGCUAAUACCGCAUACGACCUGCGGGUGAAAGCAGGGGAUCUUCGGACCUUGCGCGAUUGAAUGAGCCGAUGUCGGAUUAGCUAGUUGGCGGGGUAAAGGCCCACCAAGGCGACGAUCCGUAGCUGGUCUGAGAGGAUGAUCAGCCACACUGGAACUGAGACACGGUCCAGACUCCUAUGGGAGGCAGCAGUGGGGAAUAUUGGACAAUGGGCGCAAGCCUGAUCCAGCCAUACCGCGUGGGUGAAGAAGGCCCUCGGGUUGUAAAGCCCUUUUGUUGGGAAAGAAAAGCAGCAGGUUAAUACCCCGCUGUUCUGACGGUACCCAAAGAAUAAGCACCGGCUAACUUCGUG